AGAUAUUGUGGGCCCUCUUUUUUUGUUUGUUUGUUUGUUUUUUUUUUGCUCCCAGAAAUCUUUGAGGUAAGUAACAUAGUCAAUUGAGGUCUGGAGUUAUGUACUCCAUUUAUUCAUUUUUUCUUAACAUAGUCCCUCCUUACUAUGUGAUAUUCUCUGUCCUAGACCUUGAAAAUACAAGUUAAAUAUGGCAUAUUCUUUACCUCUAUGAGCUUAAAAUUGAGUGGGGAAAGUUCAUUUUUUCUUUGAAAUGAAAACAAACUUAAGUGCCGAUAUGCAUGAGAAAAAUAAAUUGUUCAUUUCUUUACCUACAUCUCAUCAGGAGUAAACACAUUCUCUCUCUGGCUAAGCCAAAUAUACCAUAAAUCCCUCCUAAAAAAAUACCCUGAAAUUGAGAAUCCAAUUUUAAUGGCUAAAUUAUAUUUACCUUGAACUGAGCAUUUUCUAUUAGGAUUUACGUAUGCAUCUUGGGGAUUCUGAAUGUUGGGCUUUUUUUUCUUUUUUCUUUUAGAUUUUAACCUGAAUGGAAAAGACAAUAUGAGGGUGAUGAAAGACUCUAGAUGGUCCGUCUUGGAGAGAAGGUUUUGCCGUCUUGCCCCAGUUGGUCUCGAACUCCCGGGCUCAAGCAAUCCACCUGCCUUGGCCUCCCAAAGUGCUGGGAUUACAGACGUGAGCCACCACACCCUGUCCAGUUUGUAAAUUUCUUACAAAGCUAAACCUAGUCUUAGCAUACAUUCCUGCAAUUGUUCUCUUAGGUAUUUUCUCAACUUACUUGAAAACUUCCAUCCAUAUAAAAAUGGGCACUCUCUAUGCAAUCACCUCAAGUGACUUUAAUCCUUAUUAAUGUAUGAUUCUUCACACACUUCCGGAGUCCAUUAUUGAAUAUUUUAUAGUUCAGGGCCUUUUAGCUCCUAAGCAUUCUUCCCACUGGGCAUCUGUUCCUGUAACGUGGAUUCACACUGCAUAUUCAGUCCCGCUCAAACUGACCAGCGUUAUGAUGUGUUCUUCUCUGCAAUGUGCCCUCAAACAAAACGAAUUGAA